AUACGAAGGGUGCUAGCGUUGUUCGGAAUUACUGGGCGUAAAGAGCAUGUAGGCGGAUUGAUUAGUCAGAGGUGAAAGCCCCGAGCUCAACUUGGGAAUUGCCUUUGAUACUGUCAAUCUAGAGACCGAGAGAGGUGAGUGGAAUUCCCAGUGUAGAGGUGAAAUUCGUAGAUAUUGGGAAGAACACCAGUGGCGAAGGCGGCUCACUGGCUCGGUUCUGACGCUGAGAUGCGAAAGCGUGGGGAGCAAACAGGAUUAGAAACCCUAGUAGUCC
rnacentral:rRNA from 1 species